AAGGGGGUGGCGAGCUACCAUGCAGUCGACGGCAGCAUGAUAAGUAGCAAUACUUGUUGAUGGCGAGUGGCGGACGGGUGAGUAAUACGUAGGAAUCUUCCUUAUAGUGGGGGAUAACUUGGGGAAACUCGAGCUAAUACCGCAUGACUUCCACGGAAGAAAGCAGGGGACCGUAAGGCCUUGCGCUAUAAGAUGAGCCUACGUCGGAUUAGCUAGUUGGUAGGGUAAAGGCCUACCAAGGCGAUGAUCCGUAGCUGGUCUGAGAGGAUGAUCAGCCACACUGGAACUGAGACACGGUCCAGACUCCUACGGGAGGCAGCAGUGGGGAAUAUUGGACAAUGGGGGAAACCCUGAUCCAGCAAUGCCGCGUGUGUGAAGAAGGCCUGCGGGUUGUAAAGCACUUUGAAUGGGGAAGAAAAGACGCAAGUCUAAUAAGCUUGCGAGUUGACGUUACCCAUAGAACAAGCACCGGCUAACUCUGUGCCAGCAGCCGCGGUAAUACAGAGGGUGCAAGCGUUAAUCGGAAUUACUGGGCGUAAAGGGUGCGUAGGUGGUUGCUUAAGUUAGAUGUGAAAUCCCCGGGCUUAACCUGGGAACUGCAUUUAAUACUGAGUGACUCGAGUAGAGUAGAGGAAGGCGGAAUUUCCGGUGUAGCGGUGAAAUGCGUAGAUAUCGGAAAGAACACCAGUGGCGAAGGCGGCCUUCUGGGCUCAUACUGACACUGAGGCACGAAAGCGUGGGGAGCAAACAGGAUUAGGUACCCUGGUAGUCCACGCCGUAAACGAUGAAGACUAGAUGUUGGGAAGGUUUACUUUUCAGUAUCGCAGCUAACGCGUUAAGUCUUCCGCCUGGGGAGUACGGCCGCAAGGUUAAAACUCAAAGGAAUUGACGG
rnacentral:rRNA from 1 species